rnacentral:rRNA from 1 species
GACGAACGCUGGCGGCGUGCUUAACACAUGCAAGUCGAACGGAAAGGCCCAGCUUGCUGGGUACUCGCGUGGCGAACGGGUGAGUAACACGCGGGUGAUCUGCCCUGCACUCUGGGUUAAGCCUGGGCAACUGGGUCUAAUACCGGAUAUGACCGACUGUCGCACGGUGGUUGGUGGAAAGCUUUGGCGGUGUGGGAUGGGUCCGCGGUCUAUCAGCUUGUUGGUGGGGUAAUGGCCUACCAAGGCGACGCCGGGUAGCCGACCUGAGAGGGUGAUCGGCCACACUGGGACUGAGACACGGCCCAGAAUCCUACGGGAGGCAGCAGUGGGGAGUAUUGCACAAUGGGCGCAAGCCUGAUGCAGCGACGCCGCGUGAGGGAUGACGGCCUUCUGGUGAUAAACCUCUUUCACCAGGGACGAAGCGUGAGUGACGGUACCUGGAGAAGAAGCACCGGCCAACUACGUG